UGAAUAUGAUACCACCUAGCUAGCAAAAUAUUUUGAUUUCUUUUGAGUGGAUACUUACAGUAUAAUCUCAUCUUGCGCACAUCUAGGAAACACUUAGGCAUUUAUUUGUGUGUGUGUGUGUGUGUGUGUGUGUGUGUGGAGCUCAAUGCAA